UACGAAGGGGGCUAGCGUUGCUCGGAAUCAUUGGGCGUAAAGAGCGCGCAGGCGGCUUGGUAAGUCGGAUGUGAAAACCCGAGGCUCAACCUCGGGCGUGCAUCCGAAACUGCUCGGCUAGAGGUAGGUAGGGGAGAUCGGAAUUCCUGGUGUAGCGGUGAAAUGCGCAGAUAUCAGGAGGAACACCGGUGGCGAAGGCGGAUCUCUGGGCCUUACCUGACGCUCAGGCGCGAAAGCUAGGGGAGCGAACUGG
rnacentral:rRNA from 1 species